GAUGAACGCUGGCGGCGUGCUUAACACAUGCAAGUCGAACGAUGAAGCCCAGCUUGCUGGGUGGUUUAGUGGCGCACGGGUGAGUAACACGUGAGUAACAUGCCCUCGACACUGGGGUAAGCCUGGGGAACUGGGUCUCAUAUUGGAUAUGUCUUCUCCUCGCACGGGGGGGGGUGGGGAGAUUUAUUGGUUUAGGAUGGACUCGCGGCCUAUCAGGUUGUUGGUGAGGUAAUGGCUCACCAAGGCGACGACGGGUAGCCGGCCUGAGAGGGUGACCGGCCACACUGGGACUGAGACACGGCCCAGACUCCUACGGGAGGCAGCAGUGGGGAAUAUUGCACAAUGGGCGCAAGCCUGAUGCAGCGACGCCGCGUGAGGGAUGACGGCCUUCGGGUUGUAAACCUCUUUCAGUAGGGAAGAAGCGAGAGUGACGGUACCUGCAGAAGAAGCGCCGGCUAACUACGUG
rnacentral:rRNA from 1 species